CGGCAACAGCUCAAAUUUGAAAUCUGGCCUCUUUUGGGGUCCGAGUUGUAAUUUGUAGAGGAUGUUUUGGGUACCGCACUGGUUUAAAUUUCUUGGAACAGAAUGUCAGAGAGGGUGAGAAUCCCGU
rnacentral:rRNA from 1 species